ACGGGAGAAUCGGCUUUGCCGGUGCCGAAGGAGCAACCGCCCCGGAAACUCUCAGGCGCAAGGACCGUC
rnacentral:ncRNA from 1 species